UACAGAGGUCCCAAGCGUUGUUCGGAUUUACUGGGCGUAAAGGGCGCGUAGGUUGCAAGCUAAGUCCAAUGUGAAAGCUCUGAGCUCAACUCAGAAAUGGCAUUGGAAACUAUCUUGCUAGAGGAUUGAAGGGGAGACUGGAAUGCUCGGUGUAGCAGUGAAAUGCGUAGAUAUCGAGCGGAACACCAGUGGCGAAGGCGAGUCUCUAGGCAAUUCCUGACACUGAGGCGCGAAAGCUAGGGGAGCAAACGGG
rnacentral:rRNA from 1 species